rnacentral:snRNA from 1 species
AUAUUACGAUGGUGAAGGUGGUUUUUCCUAGAGCAGACUUAUCCACUGCACUCCAUAUGUGCUGACCCCUGAGAUUUCCCCAGAUGUGGGAAACUUGACUGCAUAAUUUGUGGUAGUAGGAGAUUGCAUUCAUGCUUUCCCCUG